rnacentral:rRNA from 1 species
AUUGAACGCUGGCGGCAUGCCUUACACAUGCAAGUCGAACGGUAACAGGUCUUUCGGGAUGCUGACGAGUGGCGAACGGGUGAGUAAUACAUCGGAACGUGCCUAGUAGUGGGGGAUAACUACUCGAAAGAGUGGCUAAUACCGCAUGAGAUCUAUGGAUGAAAGCAGGGGACCUUUGGGCCUUGUGCUACUAGAGCGGCCGAUGGCAGAUUAGGUAGUUGGUGGGAUAAAAGCUUACCAAGCCUACGAUCUGUAGCUGGUCUGAGAGGACGAUCAGCCACACUGGGACUGAGACACGGCCCAGACUCCUACGGGAGGCAGCAGUGGGGAAUUUUGGACAAUGGGCGCGAGCCUGAUCCAGCAAUGCCGCGUGCAGGAUGAAGGCCUUCGGGUUGUAAACUGCUUUUGUACGGAACGAAAAGUCUUGGGUUAAUACCCUGGGAUCAUGACGGUACCGUAAGAAUAAGCACCGGCUAACUACGUG